AUAAUUUUGCAUUUAGCAGCAGGAAGCCAUCUCUUUCCCAAAACCCACUCAGGGACCGCAGGUUAAGAAGCCUCCACAGAGCCAGGAAUCAUAUGUGGUUCUGAGAGUCAUGGUUGUCCACGCACAUACUGAAUUCUUGUGAGACACCAGCUGCUUUUCCUUUUUUCUUGUGCUUUUCCUGACUUCCGACCACUUCCAACCCUCACUGGGGGGCAAAUUACGGCUGUUAAGUGGCCAGGUGGCAAGGGGAACAGUGCUGGAGCAGGCCCUUGGAGGAGGGCCCCGGCGCUUGCCUCAGGACACUCAGCUGGGAAAGCCAUCCUGCAGAUUUGGAGCUGCAGGGGAAAUGCAAACCAGGUUGCUGGGCUUCCAGAGAGGAACAGAAGAGUUAUAAAGCAUAGCCAGAAGUGCAGCUGUGGGCCUUCCUUCAUCACUGUGACAUGAUCAUCAGAUUGCUGGCCCUGCAUUCAACAGUGUCCAACAGAUACUGGACCAGGAGUCAAACAGAAGUCUGCUAGAAC
ensembl:lincRNA